CGCGCGUGUGUGUGGUGUCGUCGCUCGUGCAGUGUUUAUUGUUUUGUUUCGGAUGAUACCCUGGUGAUGUCGAGCCACCGAUGAGAUGUGGAGUUCAGUGGAGAGCGGCGGCAGCAAUGGUCGCGCAGCGCCGUGUGCGCGCGGCAAGCACUCGGCGACGCUGCUGGGCGGGCACGUGUAUGUGCUGGGGGGGCGCGGCGCCGGCGGCGCUGUGCCUCUCCGGGACUUCUGGAGCUACAGCCUCGCCACCGGUAAAUGGGAGAAGCUGGAGUGUCGGGGCGACCCUCCCCCCUCUCUGCAGGAACACAGCGCCACGGCGCACGAGAACAAGCUGUAUGUAUUCGGAGGCGAAGCCGGUGCCCUCUCCAACGAGACUCCACUCUGGAUAUAUGACACAGAGACACAAGUAUGGCGCAAGCUGCCGGGUCAGUCGAACUACGCGAGCACACUGAGACGGCGCAGUCCGCGGGACGCCCGGGGCGCCGCGCUCGGGCCGCGCGGCCGCCGUGGACACUCUGCGCAUGCACUCAAAGACUGCCUGCUCAUAUACGGUGGAUACAAGGACCUCCGGGGCUCGACACACGAACUCUGGGCGUUCCAUUAUGAAUCGGAGUCGUGGCACCAGGUGCGGACGGCGAGCCCGGGCCCGGCGCGACACCGGCACGCGGCCGCGCUGCAUGACAACCGUCUGUACGUGCACGGCGGACAGUGCGACCUGCGGGACUGCGCCGACCUCUGGUACUACGACACCAUGUCCCGCGUAUGGAGCCAGGUGCGCACGCCCGCCAAGCUGGCGCCGAGCGCACGCAGCGGCCACGCGGGGCUGCGCGCCGGCGCGCAUCUAUAUAUCUUCGGCGGCGAGACACACGGACACUCCACCAACGAGCUCUGGAGGUUCCACUUUGCCACAGAAACAUGGGAGCGAAUAGUUCAGAGUCUGAAAUGGCCGUCCCCUCGUGUAGACAGCUGCGCGCUGCUGAUCCCCGCCGCCCCCCCGCGCGUGCGCUCGGCCCCCGCCAACAGGCUCGGCCCCAACAGGCACUCGAUGAGCUCGCGCCCCGACCCACCCGCCAGCCUGCUCAAAGAGAUCUCCAAGUUGUCCUCAUUCCACAUCCGGAGAGCUGCACGUUGCUCGUACAGCGUACUGGCCGGAGACAGAGACUCCACGGAGAGUCUCGUGCGACAGGAGGCCGCUGCAUUGUCCAAAUCACACUCCGCGUACAUCAUAGACAAGCGACAGCCCGCAGAUGGCGACGAGAGCCCCCGAGAAGGCGAUGUUCCCGAAUUUAGAUCUGAAAUGUCUCGAGAGCCAAUUUCAGUUCCCGACUUUGCUGAUAUGAUUCUGCCCACACCAGUCUUAUCUCCAGUAGAAGCUACUAAGCUGGUGUAUCUCGAUUCGGAAGAUGAAGAAGAUAUGAAGCGUGAAAUUAGUAACAUGAAGAAAAAAGACGGGAUCACAUCAGUGAAGCUCGACGGCAAGGUCACGGUGGUCACGAUCCCCAAGUCGGCAUCCGUCCGGUUCACUAAGGACACGAUAAUCACUGACGAGGAGGACACAGAACUGUCCACGUCUGACUACGCGAGUGCGGAGCGCGUCAACAGACUCUCUGGUAAUUCGUUAGGGUUCAGCAAUCCUCAUUAUUUAGGACCUGACGUGAGAAAUUUAGGAGCAGCGUUGACUCCAGAUUCUGGUGUAGGUCCUGGAGAUAUUGAGCUGCAGGAUUUAGGCGAGAGACGUGCCAGAAGUGUGCCAAGAAACGGCGAGACUCAAUUGCAUCUGCUGCUAGUGGGUGGCAAGGAGCCCCCCCACCUCGCCCUGCUCCAGAACCCGCUGUCCAUGUGGACCUACAGGUUGUUGUAAUUAGUAACUCGUUAGUUUAGAUCUUCGUCCAUUAGCGGAACUAGGGUCCUCCAGGGCCAGGGCUGAACGUAGCCGUCGAUUUGGCGUUUCCAAUCACAUUUAUUUUUGUGGCUCUAAAAUAUUUUAAGUAAAUGAUUUUUAUAUAAAUAAGUUUAAAGUUGAGAAUCAUGUGAACGUGCUUUUCGAAUUGUUGACGUCCAAAUUAUUGAUGUAAAGAAAAUACUUAUGAGCUGAGGCUUAGUUUAGGUAGUUACAAGGUGUAUGUACCUCAGACUACGUGUUCGCAUUUAUACUAAAAGUACUUACUCAGACACAAGUAACGAUAACGCGGAAUAUUUAUAAUUUUAUAUGAUUAUACACAAUGUCCUCGACUCUUCCAAGAAUGUCUCCCCAGUUAGUUAAUCUGGUAGCCUGUCUGUCCACGUUACAGUUCUCUGUUCAAGCACUAGCACCAUGUGAUUCGUGUUGGUGCUGCGUUGUCGUUACUGUAUUUGUCCGUCGUGUAGCUACUAUACUAUAUGGGUACAAUGAGUGCCAAUUCAAGUAUUCUUAGAUGUAACCGACAUUUUGAUGAAGUAGCACAAAUGUGAACUCCGAGCUUGUCUGGCAGCCACGUGCGAUAACGAUACCAACUAUUAUUGACACAUGACCUAUAAACUAAUACACCUAAUCCUUUAGUUAGUAAACAGGAAUGAUACGCCUCUGGUGUUACGGGUGUACAAGGGCGGCGCGGAUUGUUUACCAUCAGGUAAUCCGUUUGCUCGUUUCCCAGCUUAUCCUACAAAAAAUAAUGACCUAUCUAUAUUAUGUAAUGUAUACCAAAGUAGGUAAUUCUGUAGUGCAGCUGAGCAGAUACUUGAUCUGUAAAUAGUGACCUAGUACUGUAUCGGAGGAUCAAAAGCUGUGAUAUAUUGUUUAUCUUGCUCGACUACUAUAUGUACGAAAUCGUAUCGCACGCCUGCAGACCUUGUGCUGAUUUAUAAUCUGUGGUAUUAACAAGUAGUCUCCAAUUAAUAUUAUUUGUUGUUUUAAGUUUAAGUUUACAUUCAUGUCCAUGCAAUACGUUGUUUGUUAUAUCUCUUAAGUUUUUCCACGUUACUCAGUUGUUUUAUAUUUUUAUUGUUUUUCUAUAUUAUUAUUAAUUACUUGUUUUGUACUUAGAAGUUUAAACAGAUUACAAAUAUUUUUUAGGAAUAUAAAUUAUGUUAAAAUGAGAUAUUACCCGAUAUUAUUUAGCAUUUAGCAUAGACGGUAAUCAUGCAACCUUCGGUCGGUCGAAAAUGUUUAUGAGAAUAUACAGUGUGGGCACAAACAAACUUCCACAGUGACUGAAAAGACAGUAGUCGGUCUACUGGUUCGACUACCUGUAGCUAAACCAUGUGAAUGUCACGACUGCCCUCUGACAUCAGAGAAUUUAAUAUUUUAUAAAUUACUACGUUAUUAAACUUUGGACUGUGUUCUUCUUGGAUGUAGAAAAACCUUUAACAAAAAAAAACUUGAUGAGCCGUUUCUAUUUUCUAAGAUUAGGCAACAUUAUAAGGCAAUGGACGUCAGGUGUGGCCAGGCACAAGUAAAGUAAAAAUUUAGUACAUUUUUAAGUACAAAAUAUUAUCUAAUUGUAGCGUAAUUCGCUGUUCAAUGCUCAUGAAUAUAAGUCCCAGAGGACUUGAAACUGGUAGAACUUUUCUCCAAUGUAUAAUAAAUUAUUUGUGCAAUGGGCCCCGGCCGUACCUGCGUCCCUGCCAGUGGCCAGUCACUAGCUGACCCAGUACUGUACUGUGUAGUAGUUCCGGACUCGUAGCCUGUACUCGGGGAGUGCGCGCCGCGCGGAGCGUUGCUAAGACUGAGUAGUGUGUAGCGGUUACAUUGCGUUAGGUACUGUACUCAUGUCUCUCAAAUUAAUCACAUAAAUAAAAGCCACGACCGUCCGGGCAUUUUCCAAACUUUAUAUGGUCAGCUGUCAGCACUCGUUGGUUUAGACUGAAUUAAAAAAUAUAUACAUAAAGCAUUCAAAUCUCCGCCCUUUUAGGUGUUUUACACAUACAUACUGCGGUUGGCGAGCUCGUGACUACAGCCGCGACUAUUUGAUUUCGUGUGACAAUUGCGAUUGGUAGUGGCCAAAUUUCUUAUAAGAAACAUUGUACCUACCUGCUCAAUAUGUCUGCUCGGAUCGGCAGACUGUUGUGAAUAUGCUGUAUUACCUGGCCAGGUCCCAUUCGAGUACAAUAUUUGAAAUGUUAAUAAACGUAGCUAUGUCCAUGUCACUUUUUUAUUUUAACCCUAUCAACCCUAGUAGCUGCCGUUCCGUUUUAUAAUAUUUUUGCGUAACCUAUCUCACAAUAGGAAACGUCGGCUUCGCCAAGGCUAAGCUUUAUAAUCUAUUCAUGUAACACAUAACGUUUAUUCACAAAUAAAGUGCGUUAGAAAUGAAACGACGCUACUUCAUGUAAGUCACUUUAUUCAGAAGGCUACAAUCAUUACAUUAAGAAUUCAUAUCAUUACUACAGUAAUAAAAUUGUGGUUAGAGAUAUUACAACGGCAACAAAUAUAUUAGACAUACAAACGUAUGAAAUGUCAAACAUUACAUUGUGUCAAUAAAUCUGUGUGGAAACUAAUAAACGAUGAAAAACAUAAAAAUUGCUAAGUUAUGUUCAUUUGCAAAAUAUUGGCAGGAAAAUAAAUGAAUAAUAACCACUUAUUUCAUAGAGCUACAUAAUUCAUUUGAAUACAAUAGGAAAUGACAUACAUUCAUAGAGAUUAAUAUAAUUUGAUGAGGGUUUCCCCCUUUAAUACAUUUAGCAGCAGUAGCCGCGUAGUGGCGCGCUCGCCACUACUCCCCGCGGUCAGCCCCAACGCCCAAUUGGAUCACUUACAAAUGUCUAUAA